GAUGAACGCUGGCGGCGUGCCUAAUACAUGCAAGUCGAGCGAACAGACGAGGAGCUUGCUCCUCUGACGUUAGCGGCGGACGGGUGAGUAACACGUGGAUAACCUACCUAUAAAACUUGGAUAACUUCGGGAAACCGGAGCUAAUAACGGAUAAUAUUUUGAACUGCACGGUUAAAUAGUCAAAGACGGUUUUGAUGUCACUUAUAGAUGGAUCCGCGCCGCCUUAGCUAGUUGGUAAGGUAACGGCUUACCACGGCAACGAUGCGUAGCCGACCUGAGAGGGUGGUCGGCCACACGGUAACUGAGACACGGUCCAGACUCCGACGGGAGGCAGCAGUAGGGAAUCUUCCGCAAUGGGCGAAAGCUUGACGGAGCAACGCCGCGUGAGUGAUGAUGGUCUUCGGAUCGUAAAACUCUGUUAUUAGGGAAGAACAAAUGUGUAAGUAACUAUGCACGUCUUGACGGUACCUAAUCAGAAAGCCACGGCUAACUACGUG
rnacentral:rRNA from 1 species